UAGGGAAUAUUGGACAAUGGGUGCAAGCCUGAUCCAGCCAUGCCGCGUGCAGGAAGAAGGCCUUCUGGGUUGUAAACUGCUUUUUGCCAGGGGAUAAAAUUUCUUUGCGAAGAAAAUUGAAGGUACCUGGUGAAUAAGCCACGGCUAACUACGUGCCAGCAGCCGCGGUAAUACGUAGGUGGCAAGCGUUGUCCGGAUUUAUUGGGUUUAAAGGGUGCGUAGGCGGUUCCAUAAGUCAGUGGUGAAAUACAAUAGCUUAACUAUUGAGGUGCCAUUGAUACUGCGGAACUUGAGUACAGACGAGGUAGGCGGAAUUGACGGUGUAGCGGUGAAAUGCUUAGAUAUCGUCAAGAACACCGAUAGCGAAGGCAGCUUACUAGACUGUAACUGACGCUGAGGCACGAAAGUGUGGGGAUCAAACAGGAUUAGAUACCCAGGUAGUCCCUGAGCGGGCUGGCAAGGCGCAU
rnacentral:rRNA from 1 species